CUUUAGCAUUGUUUUGCAUUUGGGAUGGAAAUGUUUGUGUCAGAGGAGCCCUUGUUAUAAGCCUGACAGCAGAAAUGGACUUUCCCAGACAGAAUCUGCCCUCCCAAAGACUGAACUGACUGAGGCUAUGUUUCAGAGCUCCUCCCGAAGGAUCCUUUCCUGUCAGUGUACUUGGCAACAUUCUCACUCUUUAUAGAGGUACCUUCUCCAUGCCUCUCUGGCAGGUGGAGGCUGCAGAUCUAUAGCUAGAAUUUUGGGCUAAUUUUAGGGAUUCAGACUGGAGUCCCAAACUCAUACCUAUCCAAGGUCUAGUUAUUCAUAUAGCGAGAGGUUUGGAUAAUGCAACAGGUUUGUUUUCAGCUCUGUUUAUUUAGAAUGUCAGAUAUUUUUUUGCGUUGCAGUAACGUGACCCUUGGGCGGUUCCCUUUAUGGUUCUGUUGGAGCGCCAUCUGCUGGCAGCAGAGCAACGUGCAGUUUGGAAACUUUUGAAUAAAAACAUAAAGUAGUUGCGACAAUAUAAUAUUCAUAACGAUAAAAUCAGGUUCAGGAAAUCGUGUCAUGUUACACAUCAGGGGAGAUUUCUAAAUAUCCAUAAUUAUUAUUUUAUGUAAACAUUUUGUACCAUUUUGCUUGCGCUCGUCUUCUGCGUGAAUUGAAGAAGGGACCUUAAAAACCAGUGUGAAAUUAGUGAAAUGUGACGAGGGGGCACAAGCCCACAGGCUGAAAACUGCAAAGUACGGUGAGGUUGAGAAGGAGAUGCAGUAAAAUCUAAUUUUAUCCUCAAGAAUCCCUGUUUUGUGAGGUUCAGUCGUCACACCUGCAUGACAAAUAGUCGUCCUGCUCACAGGCAGAUGCGAAGCACCCUUUCAUCACGGGGGGCAGCAGAGCCCAAUAUCCACCCGGCUGUGGACCUGAUAACGCCCACCCCCACCCCACCAGCAGGAAGCCAUGCUGCACGCAUUGACCUCCCCCACUGAGCUCCCCAAACGCCUCUGGUCUGCAGCCUGAUUUCCUGUUUGGAGGUGCGCGAAGGAUCCGAGACGCACAUGAGAAGCACCCCAGUGCCGUGAGGAGCGACUCACCGAGCGACAGGCCACCAAAAGCAAACAUCCGGUGGCCAGAGCUUGUGUUUGCGCUCGCCUCGUGGGAGGAGGGGGGUGACUUUGCAGUUUUCCCAUAUGUGCAUAUUUGUCUUUUCCCAGUGGUCUUUAUUCCUGCCCCUCACCUCCAGAAUCUGGGGGAAAUGUGAGCUGAGUCAGCCAUUUUACUCGCUCACUCAGAGGCCCAGUGGUAAAAUAACUGUUAUAUCUGUUGACCCUGGGAUUCGAACCAGCAACCUUCUGACCAUACCUCCCGCACACAGGACCAGCCGGACCACACGCUGUCCCAUUGUCGGUCGGGAGUCACUGCUGCGUGAGAUGCUCAGUGACAAGGAAUGUGCCACAGCAGAGACCCAAGCUGGCCAGGCCUGACGUUAAGCCCCAAAAUAUGCCGGAUGGGUGGAGAAAAGCCACAGGCUGCCUCUGAAUUAGGCAGAAGCAAUUGCCCAGGGGCAAAGAGAACAGUGCCAUCCGUCAGAAAGGUGUGGCCACUGCAGGCUAAACAAGCAAAAUAGCUACUGUGCCCUCUGGCAUUAUUGACAUUCUUUGUGUAAAUGACCAAAAAAGGCCGCGAAACAUUUUCUUCGUUAGCGUGAUCUUACAGUUGGAUUAUAAGUGACAGUCAACCUUUCAAUGAGGUAAAUUUAGUCAAAGGAAAUCCUCACAAAGAAGUUGAGACUUAGCCCGCUCCCUUUGCUUUGACAGUAAUGCUUGCUCUUGCCUUUAUAGUUGUGAUGCUGGCUGAUCGCUUUCACCACAGAUACCAGUAAUUCUGCAGGGCACUGUAGAGCAUGGGUGUCAAACUCCAGUCCUGGGGGGCCGGAGCCCUGCACAUUUUUGGGUUUCCCCUCAUUAAA